GGGUUGUGAGGUUAAGCGACUAAGCGUACACGGUGGAUGCCCUGGCAGUCAGAGGCGAUGAAGGGCGUGCUAAUCUGCGAUAAGCGCCGGUAAGGUGAUAUGAACCGUUAUAACCGGCGAUACCCGAAUGGGGAAACCCAGUGUGAUUCGUCACACUAUCAUUAACUGAAUCCAUAGGUUAAUGAGGCGAACCGGGGGAACUGAAACAUCUAAGUACCCCGAGGAAAAGAAAUCAACCGAGAUUCCCCCAGUAGCGGCGAGCGAACGGGGAGGAGCCCAGAGCCUGAAUCAGCAUGUGUGUUAGUGGAAGCGUCUGGAAAGGCGCGCGAUACAGGGUGACAGCCCCGUACACAAAAGCGCAUGUGCUGUGAGCUCGAUGAGUAGGGCGGGACACGUGGUAUCCUGUCUGAAUAUGGGGGGACCAUCCUCCAAGGCUAAAUACUCCUGACUGACCGAUAGUGAACCAGUACCGUGAGGGAAAGGCGAAAAGAACCCCGGCGAGGGGAGUGAAAAAGAACCUGAAACCGUGUACGUACAAGCAGUGGGAGCCCCACCACUAAGCCAGUGGUGAACUCCACAUACGCAUCCUUUGCUGAGGAUACGGUUAACGGAGCGAAAGCGACGUUCAACCUCAAAAGAAGC
rnacentral:rRNA from 1 species